rnacentral:rRNA from 1 species
CCUACGGGAGGCAGCAGUGAGGAAUAUUGGUCAAUGGGAGAGAUCCUGAACCAGCCAAGCCGCGUGAGGGAAGACGGCUCUAUGAGUUGUAAACUGCUUUUGUACGAGGGUAAACGCAGAUACGCGUAUCUGUCUGAAAGUAUCGUACGAAUAAGGAUCGGCUAACUCCGUGCCAGCAGCCGCGGUAAUACGGAGGAUUCAAGCGUUAUCCGGAUUUAUUGGGUUUAAAGGGUGCGUAGGCGGUCGGGUAAGUUAGAGGUGAAAUCCCGAGGCUCAACUUCGGAAUUGCCUGUGAUACUGGUCGGCGAGAGUGUAGGUGCGGUAGGCGGAAUGUAUGGUGUAGCGGUGAAAUGCUUAGAGAUCAUACAGAACACCGAUUGCGAAGGCAGCUUACCAAGCUACUUCUGACGUUGAGGCACGAAAGCGUGGGGAGCAAACAGGAGUAGAUACCCGAGUAGUC